AGGGCCUGAAGAAAGGGGAUUGAACGCAAAUCCGACUGCACAGCCCCAGGUGUUUCAAGACACAAGCGCUGCCUCCUGUGCUACUGUGUUACCCACUGGUGGCAAAGUAUUGCACAUUCAUGGAAACAAGUUUACCUCUCCAAGUGUAACAGAAUCCCUGGACUUGCCUGAACCUUGAGUUUGAAAGGAAGAAGCAGAAAGCCUUCAAAUCAGUUAUUUACUCUAAAGAAUGAAAACCUAGCUCCAGCAGAGUGACUCAGCCUCAAGAAAAGUUCUCAUAUGACAUGAUUAUUCAACAUUUCUCACAACCUAUAACAUAAGCGUGCUGACAUCAGUGGGGCAGAUUUCUAUAAAGCCGAAAAACCUCAGCUUUGCUAUGUAGGAAAUCCCGAUUAGAUGAGCCUC
rnacentral:lncRNA from 1 species